UAAGAAUUAGUUAAAAAUCUAAUAUAAACUUGUCAUGUUUAAGUUGCACUAGCAUUCUUAA
rnacentral:tRNA from 1 species